GUGUAAUAUGCAUGAACACACAUGAACGAUACGUGAGCAAACACUAUGGAUCCAUAUAGUGUGUGAUUCUGCACCUGCUCUGCUGCAAACAGGUCCUGAGGAGACACUUCAUCUUCAGACACAUCUGCAUGUGCAGACGGAACAUGAACAGUCUCGUAGAGAGGGGGCCCCAGCAAGUUUCCAAAGCACCCCCACCCUGCUGGAAACACUCUCCAGCCACAACCUCAGGAGAGUCAUGCUAGGACGCGGGGGGCGUGCCGUGAGAGGACAGCAGGCGUGAGUGGAUCUCCAGGCACCCUCGGACCCUAAGCGCCCAGCCCUGGCCAGCUCAGCAAUGGCACUGUCGGCCGGCCAGCGGGCCCCACUGGGAAUGCAGCCCUCCUUGCCCUUUGCCCUCUGUGAGGGGCUUCUGUCCUCACCAUCAGAUUGUGACAGGAGGCCUCACCUCCUUCUGUUUCCCAGGCUGGGUGAUCAUGGGGAGGGCAGGGCCACUGGGAGAGUGGAGGCUGUCCUGCGACUCAGCCACAGGGAUUUGGGGGAAGGAAGUGAGGACUUUGAGCUGGGCAUGCUGUCCUCCCUAACAAAGCAGGGAUUCUCUCCGGAGAGCCAGAGGGGCUAAAGCAGCUUCCCCCAGAACCCCCCUCACAUUGCCUCCAGCUGGGACGCCCUGCAGGUCCAGUGGGGGAGAAAUGAGACAUGAGAGAGAACGAGAGGGUGUGUGCCACCCAGCAGGCGCGUCUCUCUGAGAGAAUGAGAGGGUGCAGGCCACCCAGUGGGUGCCUCUCUCUGGCGUGGCUGGAGGGCUUUCAAAGGAACA
rnacentral:lncRNA from 1 species